GGAGGGGAUCGAAAUCGUCCAUGGACGGACGCGCUGAUGGGGACCUGAUGGAGACAGAGAAGGACCACGAGGAGGUGGCGUGGGUCGACCCUGGCGGUUGGCUCCUCCUCCAGAACCACGUGGUAGGAGAGGAGGCACAAGGACUGCUUCUUCUCAGGAUGCCGCAUCCAGGGAGCUCCGACCCUACCGCCGCUGUCAUCCAUGGAGCUCUGACCCAUGGCCAAGAACUCAAGGUAGGUUCAGACAUAGAGCCACUGUGGGGAUUCCUUCCAGUCCGACGCCACUUGGCUUCUGCUCCGGUGCCCCCGUUCUUCUUCCAAUCCAGCAAGAUGGUGCACAACAGAGCCGGCUGUGUGUGGAGUGCGCGGGAAGAUUCUUCUUCCACUCCGGCAGUCUGGUGUUAGCAGUUAUGUACUUGAUAGAAGACACAUCUUUUCUACAUGGUAAAUUUCGGGAUGCAAACCUAGUAAUGUGCCUGAUCCCAGCUUGAGCAGCAGUUGGAGUUAGCCAAGCGAGGCAGCGUGAGCACUAGGAGAGGGAGGGGAGAAGGAGAACUUAGGUUGCAUGGCACCAAUGGUCGGCUCCUUAUCCAGAAUCACGCGUCGGGAAAGGAGGUUCGAGGACUGCUUCUUCUUGGGACGCCACAUCCAUCGAGCUCUUACCCCAUCACCGCUGCCAUCCAUGGAGCUCUGACCUAUGGCCAACAAUUCGUCAUGUACGCAGGUGCACGAAAGACCCAGCGUGUGGUGUGCAUGUGGAAUUCUUCUUCACACUCAAACACAGGUUAUGAUAUCCAUGCUGGAGGAGUAGGAGGGCAACGGGCAAGUAAUAAUAGGAACCACCAUGAGCCUCACUAUGCGCUAUCCUGGUGAAACUGUUGGGUGCAACGGUGAUGGGCAAGACGAGCAUGUAGAAAGAGACCACAACAGCAGCAGGAUAAGACAUAGUUGUUGAAGACUUGAAAUACACAUGAAUGUACAUGUUUCGAUCUGAUCUCCCCUUAAUCUGGAUUGCCUUCUCUUCACAUGUAUGGUUGGUAUGUUUAGUGAAGCUUCUCAAUAGGAGCUGGAGUCAGUUUUCUAGUGAUGGACUAGGAUUGAAGCUACUCGACGAGGCACAAACAUGCUACUAUCUUGCUAGGCUGUGGUCUUCAGUUCAUGUCGUGGCUGGGUUGUUGCCAGUUACUUCAACUAGUCAGUUUUCUUGUUCUGCUUGCUCCAGUUACAUUAUGUCCUCCCAACCGUUGUCUGAUCAUGAAUACGUUGUCACAUUGUGCCUUUUGUUUCUGAAAGAUAAAACCUUGUAAUUUUAUUAUAUUACGAAGCCAAGCCGCGCACAUGGGUAUUUUUUGGGCUACCCCAGCUUUCAGGAUCCAGACACUUCAAAAUUGUUUUCUCAAGCUUCUUUUGAUGGUAUUUAGAAACUUGCAUAUGCUCAUUUAUUUCAGUCUAGUAAGCAACUUGAGCAAAAUGAGUCCACAAAUUAUCACCAGGCACGAAUGUCUCAGGUUGACAAAAUCGUCUGCCAGAGUGUGUUUUAUUCAAAGUCCUCAUUAUAGCCAUAUAAUAUUCGAGAUGUCCACCCCUACUAUCUCUUGUCUAUUUUAUGCUUGAAAAAAUAUAAAGCAUGUGAUUGUUGUUGUAUUUGUAGAGAAGAGGUAAUUUCUAGGAUUUUGUUUUUC